rnacentral:rRNA from 1 species
CAAUGAUUCCGUAGGUUGACCUGCGGAAGGAUCAUUG